rnacentral:tRNA from 1 species
UCCGAUAUGGUCUAGUGGCUAGGAUUUGCCGCUCUCAUCAGAGCAGAACGCUUUCAUUGGCGCCGGCAAGGCCCGGGUUCGAUUCCCGGUGUCGGAA